GAUUACUGAGAUAAACAAAGUUGCUACAAUUCACUACAGGGUCAGCAAGAGUGCCAGUUGGAGGCCUGGCAAGACUAAAGCUCAUCAUUGCUCGCAACGGACCCGACUGCGACAGGCUACCAACUGCCCACACCUGCUUCAAUGUUCUACUCCUACCUGAAUAUUCUAGUAAAGAAAAACUCAAGGAUCGCCUCUAUAAAGCCAUCAAGUACUCUCAGGGCUUUGGUAUGCUCUGAGCAAUCUGCAGAUUCAGGUAAGCUUGUGGCCUUGAGAAUAUGUAGCGAGUUAAAGUGAGACAUCAUGGGCUAUCUGCAGUGCCUGGGCUAUGGAAGACCAUCAGCAAUUGGAGUGUUGUUGGUGUCUUUACUUGCUACUUAAAAAAAAAAGUUAUCCUAAUUGGCUUCAAUCUGUAGAUGUAAUUUUGAUAAUAGUCUUCACAAAUUUUCUUUCUGUAGGCAGAUAUUCAUUAUUCAAAGAUGUUUCUCUUUUUAUCAUCAUCAGAAGGCUUUCCUCAUCAAAGGUCUCAAAUCUUGUGUACAGUAUUAGAUUUUUAGGGUCCCAGAAAAUUGGAUUUCUAAUGAUUCAUAUCAUAAAAGCUUCAUCAUAUUGUAAUGGAUAGACGUGAAGGAACUUUUAGAAUGCCCAGUACUGUUUACUGGUCUUGUACUAAUUUCAGAGUUUCAGACUAUUUUCCCAGUUGAGAAAUUUAUGUAGAAAUUUGGUCAAUAUUUUAUCAUAGUGCCUGUUAAAAAAUGCUAAUUUUUAUGUAAAAGAAAUGAAUAAGAAUGAGUUAUUAAUUCUUCAAGUUCAGUUAAAAAAUCACCAUAUGAAUUUUAUUUAACUUUUAAUCAUUCACAAAAUCAAACAAGCUGGAUAUUUGGGUAUACCUUCAAACCACUUCCAUUCUAUCAGUGCAUCAAAUGGUCAUAUGAUACACAUUUUUAAAAAGCCUUACUUCAUGCUGUUGCUUUUCUUUAAAAUCUGUCAAGUGCUGUCUGUGAGAAGAUUGAUGCUGUGUGACACAAGGUUAGAUAUUAUAUCAGUGU